GGAGAGGUGACUGAGUGGCUAAAAGUGCUCGCCUGCUAAGCGAGAGCUCCGCAAGGGGCACGAGGGUUCGAAUCCCUUCCUCUCCACCA
rnacentral:tRNA from 1 species